GAAGGUAUAACUCAGUGGUCGAGUGUGUGCUUAGAAUGCAUGAGAUCCUAGGUUCAAUCCUCAGUACCUCCA
rnacentral:tRNA from 1 species